rnacentral:tRNA from 1 species
GCGACGGUAGCUCAGUUGGCAGAGCACCUGGUUGUGGUCCAGGAAGUCACGGGUUCAAAUCCCGUCCGUCGCC